rnacentral:rRNA from 1 species
GAUGAACGCUGGCGGCGUGCCUAAUACAUGCAAGUCGAGCGAACAGACGAGGAGCUUGCUCCUCUGACGUUAGCGGCGGACGGGUGAGUAACACGUGGAUAACCUACCUAUAAGACUGGGAUAAAUUCGGGAAACCGGAGCUAAUACCGGAUAAUAUAUUGAACCGCAUGGUUCAAUAGUGAAAGACGGUUUUGCUGUCACUUAUAGAUGGAUCCGCGCCGCAUUAGCUAGUUGGUAAGGUAACGGCUUACCAAGGCAACGAUGCGUAGCCGACCUGAGAGGGUGAUCGGCCACACUGGAACUGAGACACGUUCCAGACUCCUACGGGAGGCAGCAGUAGGGAAUCUUCCGCAAUGGGCGAAAGCUUGACGGAGCAACGCCGCGUGAGUGAUGAAGGUCUUCGGAUCGUAAAACUCUGUUAUUAGGGAAGAACAAAUGUGUAAGUAACUAUGCACGUCUUGACGGUACCUAAUCAGAAAGCCACGGCUAACUACGUG